CGGGGCGUGCGUAGUACGGUCGCGCACCGGCUCUCCCCCUGUGAGCUGGAUGUCGGAGGUUCAAAUCCUCUCGCCCCGGCCA
rnacentral:tRNA from 1 species